CAGGUCCAUCUGCAGACGGGGAUGAGUGAGCCCCCAUUGAUGUAUCUGGAGCCUGCACAAUUCCCUGGCCUUUUUCUGGAGAAGGACUAUCACAGAGCAUUUGAUUUUUGCUGCUGUAACAUGUGACCCGGGCUCUCAUCUAAAGAUGGCCAUCUGGAAGACGUGGCCUGCUCACUUGAAAUCAGCACACCAUGGAAUCUGUUUAUUCCUGGUGUUUUGGGGUUCGUGAACUGGGCAGAACACAAGCACAGCUUUAUGCAUUAUUGUAAGCAGGCACUUCUAUGGCCAGCUCCAAGGGACCAGAUAGACCGGUUAUCAAGCAUUUGUGAAGACACCUAGACCACCUGCUGACUAAAACUACCUGCGCAUGUCCCUGGGUCACCCUAUAAGAGAACUGGAGCCCUCCCCUUUCUCUCUCUCUUCUUCCUCUUCCUCUCUCUGGCUCUGUCUCUCUCUCUGUCUCUCUCUCUCUCCCUCCCUCUCUCUGUAACCUCCUUCCCCUAAUAAACCUCCCACGUGG